GAGAAAAAAACCCUGAACGCGGAAACGAAAUGUUUGGGUGGAAACAAAAGGCAGCCACACGAUUAAAUGUAUUAUCAACGAAAAAUGCUUCGAAAAAGCUUGAAGCUUCCGUCGUCGCGUUCAUCUCCAUUCUCUGGCUCGCGUUUUAGUCCGACGACAAUCAUGGUAUCACUUUGGAUUGCGUCACAGUGUUUGUGGAUUCUGGCACAGUGAUGUGGAAUUUCAACAUCGUGUUUCAUUCGCGACCUCUGUGUCACGAUAAUAAUCAACAACGACAAAGUGGAAUAAAACGAGAACUUACCGGAUCGAUGUGGCGUCGUAUAGAUUCAAUCACCGUGAUUUCACGAAUUCAUCCUCGGUUCUUCAUCACAUUCGCGUCGGUGUCGUGUAUGAACGGUCCAACACUCGAGCUUGAGAAUGAAAACAAAUGUUGGAAGAAGGCCAAAACUGAAUUCACUCUUUGAUUCGAACAUAUAUGAAUUCUCUUCUCUUCGAUUCACUUCCUCUUCUUUGGAUUACUGCCGCUUCUUUUUCUUCUUCUUUCCGUUUUUCGAUUCCUGAUGUGUUAUUGUUAUUGCUUCUCUGGUGAGCUAGAUGCGUUGUGGUUGGCGAGGAUGAGUGUUGAAAGAAGAAGACGAACUCACGAAUCUGAGUUUUCUGCAAAAAAGUGCAGAAUGAAAUGCAGUGAAGAGUAUGAAUUGCAAAUUGCAGCACAAUGAAGAAGGUGAAUGAUCGAUGGAGCGUGAAGAAAAGUUGAAAGAGAUUGGAGAUGGAAGAAGAUUGACGUAGGAUGAAGAUGGUGAAGAUUGGAGAAGAUGAAGAAGAAUGAAGAAGCUAAUGAAGUUGGGAUUUGUCAUGUUGCCGUUUCCGCGUUUUGCCGGCUUGACUUGGAGGUUGCACCUGCGUUUUCUGCUAUGCUGCUGCGUUUUUUUUUUAGCUUUGUGUUAAUGGAUAUUGGACUGUGUUAAUGGAUAUCUGAGUGACUAUUGGAUAUAGGUUGUUAAAA